rnacentral:rRNA from 1 species
UGAGGAAUAUUGGACAAUGGGCGCAAGCCUGAUCCAGCCAUGCCGCGUGCAGGAUGACGGUCCUAUGGAUUGUAAACUGCUUUUAUACAGGAAGAAACAGUUCUACGUGUAGAACCUUGACGGUACUGUAAGAAUAAGGAUCGGCUAACUCCGUGCCAGCAGCCGCGGUAAUACGGAGGAUCCAAGCGUUAUCCGGAAUCAUUGGGUUUAAAGGGUCCGUAGGCGGUUUAAUAAGUCAGUGGUGAAAGCCCAUCGCUCAACGGUGGAACGGCCAUUGAUACUGUUAGACUUGAAUUAUUAGGAAGUAACUAGAAUAUGUAGUGUAGCGGUGAAAUGCUUAGAGAUUACAUGGAAUACCAAUUGCGAAGGCAGGUUACUACUAAUUGAUUGACGCUGAUGGACGAAAGCGUGGGUAGCGAACA